CAGUAGCCACGGUAAUACGAGGGGGGCAAGCGUUGUUCGGAAUUAUUGGGCGUAAAGGGUGCGUAGGCGGCUUGACAAGUCUUGUGUGAAAUCUAUGGGCUCAACCCAUAGUCUGCACGGGAAACUGUCGGGCUUGAGAAUGGGAGAGGUGAGUGGAAUUUCCGGUGUAGCGGUGAAAUGCGUAGAUAUCGGAAGGAACACCUGUGGCGAAAGCGGCUCACUGGACCAUUUCUGACGCUGAUGCACGAAAGCUAGGGGAGCAAACAGGAUUAGAGACCCCGGUAGUCCCUGUCUCUUAUAA
rnacentral:rRNA from 1 species